GACGAACUGUCCUAACGUUGUUCGGAAUCACUGGGCUUAAAGGGCGCGUAGGCGGUCGACCAAGUCAGGGGUGAAAUCCUGCAGCUUAACUGUAGAAGUGCCUUUGAUACUGGUCGUCUGGAGGGAGGUAGGGGUGUGCGGAACUUCCAGUGGAGCGGUGAAAUGCGUUGAUAUCGGAAGGAACGCCGGUGGCGAAAGCGGCGCACUGGAUCUCAUCUGACGCUGAGGCGCGAAAGCCAGGGGAGCAA
rnacentral:rRNA from 1 species